rnacentral:rRNA from 1 species
GUCGAGCGGUAGAGAGAAGCUUGCUUCUCUUGAGAGCGGCGGACGGGUGAGUAAUGCCUAGGAAUCUGCCUGGUAGUGGGGGAUAACGUUCGGAAACGGACGCUAAUACCGCAUACGUCCUACGGGAGAAAGCAGGGGACCUUCGGGCCUUGCGCUAUCAGAUGAGCCUAGGUCGGAUUAGCUAGUUGGUGGGGUAAUGGCUCACCAAGGCGACGAUCCGUAACUGGUCUGAGAGGAUGAUCAGUCACACUGGAACUGAGACACGGUCCAGACUCCUACGGGAGGCAGCAGUGGGGAAUAUUGGACAAUGGGCGAAAGCCUGAUCCAGCCAUGCCGCGUGUGUGAAGAAGGUCUUCGGAUUGUAAAGCACUUUAAGUUGGGAGGAAGGGCAUUAACCUAAUACGUUAGUGUUUUGACGUUACCGACAGAAUAAGCACCGGCUAACUCUGUGCCAGCAGCCGCGGUAAUACAGAGGGUGCAAGCGUUAAUCGGAAUUACUGGGCGUAAAGCGCGCGUAGGUGGUUCGUUAAGUUGGAUGUGAAAUCCCCGGGCUCAACCUGGGAACUGCAUUCAAAACUGUCGAGCUAGAGUAUG